AACCGAGAGAACGACCUGCUCGACGCGUGGACUCGGCGUGGCAUCGCCAAGCUCGCCUUCAACCUCUCCCAGACGCGUCGCCCAUCUCCACUUCACACCCAGAGCCGACCAGACCAAGAGAGGAGAGCCCUCAGCCUCUCCGUCACCCUCAUCCUUGUCACCGACCGUGGAGAAGACGAAGGCUGCCGUCGUCGUCAAGCCGCGCACGCCGUCAUCUCUUUUUCGUUCCAUACUUCUCUCUCCAUGCCGAGCAAAUCCUCUUUUGACUCCACUUUGUUUCGUCCGCUGCAGCGACGGGAACGCCGCCGUGCCCACGGGUGUUGCAGUGCGUGCACCGAGCGCCGCCGCAACGACAUCGUCGCCGUUGCCGUCGAUUUAGGCCAAGCCGGAGCGAGCUACCACGCCACCAGCUUCGCGUAGUCCUCCUCUCCAUUUCCCCUCAAAAAUCCCAAAGAAUGGCGCAUCGAGGAAGGAGAUCGGCGUCAUCCUCCUCAACUCGGGUCACCGUUGCCAUUUGCCGAAUCCAUCUUCUCCGGUGAGUCCCAAUCCGAUUCCAUGCAUCAGUAGCAUCCCUGUGACCUCAAUAACCCCAUGAAAACACAUGCAUGUCAAUUUGAUGAGUGGAUCGAGUCGUUGCCGUCUUCCCGGAGCUCUGCACCGUCGCCGGACCAUCUUCUUCACCGCUGCUGUUGUCCAGACUUUCCCGCGCCUCGUUCAAGCUUCGUACCCACUCGUAGGUACUAUCGCACAACCAACUCCCGACUCUCGUCCAGAUCUACGCUCGCCGCCGCCGCGAGGGUUUCUGGCGCCUCUUCCUUCCCGACUCCCGUCCAGCCACCACUGCCGGCUCAUCCUCUCCUGUGGAGCCGCGUCCUAGGGCGGCGGCGGCGCGUCCUCGCCCAUGGACAACCGCCGACUCCCGUCACCCUCGCCUGCCCAAUGUCGUAGAACUGGUUUCACGGCUCCACGGCUCCAUGGCAGCAGGCUUGCAGACUAUUACAAGACUCUGUUCAAGUCAUCUAACUAUUGGGCUGCCCUCUAGCUUAUCUUGAUCUAUCUAUGCACUUCUGUCUGAACUUGAAGAACAAAUUCACUUGAACAUGUUUAACUUGGUAGAUUGGACUGGUUCUGAAUCCUGAUGGUUGUUCAUAUAUAUUGUCCUUUGGAAUCAACUUUUUAUAUGUUGAACUUUCCAAAUUAUCUACAAGCAGGAGCAGAGUAACUGCUGAAGUUUCAAGGGCAAUGCAAAUGGAUUGUAUAGGAAUGCUACAUCAUGAAGAUGGGAGGAGCUAAAGCUAUAGUAUUAGCUUAUGAACAGUUAUAAUUUCUUUUUGGAGAUGAUUCAAAUCUCAUUUUCUGUAUGUAUGUUUACCUGACAUGUUGAUCACAGUUGCUCUUAAUAUAAUUACCUUUCAUCGA